CCUACGGGGAGCAGCAGUGAGGAAUAUUGGUCAAUGGGCGCGAGCCUGAACCAGCCAAGUCGCGUGAGGGAAGACGGUCCUAUGGAUUGUAAACCUCUUUUGUUGGGGAGCAAACGCCGCCACGCGUGUCUUUCCGAGAGUACCCGACGAAAAAGCAUCGGCUAACUCCGUGCCAGCAGCCGCGGUAAUACGGAGGAUGCGAGCGUUAUCCGGAUUUAUUGGGUUUAAAGGGUGCUAAGGCGGACGAUCAAGUCAGCGGUAAAAUUGAGAGGCUCAACCUCUUCGAGCCGUUGAAACUGGUUUGCUUGAGUGAGUGAGAAGUAUGCGGAAUGCGUGGUGUAGCGGUGAAAUGCAUAGAGAUCACGCAGAACUCCGAUUGCGAAGGCAGCAUACCGGCGCUCAACUGACGCUCAUGCACGAAAGUGUGGGUAGCGAACAGGAUUAGAUACCCGUGUAGUC
rnacentral:rRNA from 1 species